rnacentral:rRNA from 1 species
ACUCCUACGGGAGGCAGCAGUGGGGAAUAUUGGACAAUGGGCGCAAGCCUGAUCCAGCCAUGCCGCGUGUGUGAAGAAGGCUUUCGGGUUGUAAAGCACUUUCAACAGUGAGGAAAGGUUAGUAGUUAAUACCNGAUAGCUGUGACGUUACCUGAAGAAGAAGCACCGGCUAACUCC